AUGUAAUACAUAUUUUAUCAGCAGAUACUGUUAUUAUUUUGACUGGGCUGCUGGGAGGGGUAAGAAGUAAAUUGUGCACUUCCCUUCGGCCACAGAGAAACAAGAGGCCCAGGGGGUCUUGAAAAAUACUCCAAAUUGCACGUGCUGACCAUGUGAGGAAAAGGUUGUCCUACAGCAAAAAUCACUUCUCACAAAGCUGCAGGCACCACUGGAGAAGCAUUAACAGGACAACUCCUUCUGCCUUAUGUGCUAAGUCUGCUGAGCAUGCACAGAGAACCUGCGGCUUUGUAGAAACAACUGUGUUAACAGCAUAUGUGUGAAACACUUUCCUUGCACAUGGGCAAUAGACUACCUGUUGGAAGCCAAGAGCACAACUGCAAGACAACUGUUCAGUGGAGGAACAUGAAAACUCAUGCAUAGCCUGGAAGCAGAAAAUGCAAUGCACAUGGGCAGAGACAAACUGUUGCACAUGCCCAGGAUGGUUGGCGCUCAGGGCAUAGCAGCUCUACACUUGUCCCUGGGUACCUGAGACUUCUCUGAGAAGGCAGCUCAGUGCUGGCUGCUCUUGCACCUUCUUCCAGGACAGUUCCUGCAAGUGUCCUCAGAUAAAAUGGGACCAGCACCCAAGUAAGCAAUCCUGCCUUAUACAGAAGAGAAUAGAUUACUUUAUUUCUUUUUCCCACUAAUUACUAUAUAAUUGACAUAGGCAGAAAAUAUACAGAAAGUGGAAUGGAAACAAGUUGUAAUUCAUAAGUAAAGUAAACUGUAAGGGAAAUUGUGAUCAAGAACAAAUGUUUGUAACUGCCUUUGCUAGUGUAUAGUAAGAUAUUUGUUCAUAAAUUAGUUCCUGCUAAUGGACAACCAAUUAAUGGACCAAUCUAUAGCUUGUAAAAAUCUCAGCAAUCUAUUCAGCAAUUAACAGAGAUGUAUUGUAUUAAGCUGCUUUGGUUAAGUGGGAUGUCAGCAACAUUUACUCCAAAAUUAUGCAGUACCUGCAUAGAACGUUUCACAUAAUGUUGUGCUAAGAUUGCAUUAAGUCAUUUUAUAUUUUUUUUUCUCUCAUAACUGCAAAUGUAUGUGGUAAAUUAUUUCAAUUCAUUUUUCCCCAUUAACUUUUAUCUUGAGAAAAGUAAAUACAUGAUUGUUUUCUAAUUUUCCAUCCAAAUAAACAAGAGUAGCCAUGAUAUAAAUAACAGGAGCAGUUUAGCAUUUUGGUUAACACUUGGAUCAUUAAAAACGUUUGAAAAGAUAUGUUAAAGCAAUUCCACUUGUAUUUUUUUCUCAAAAAAUUUUUGCCAGUGGUCAUUUAGUAUCUUUUUUCUCUAAUGGAAUGCAGAAAAGGGAAGAUAUUGAGCUUAGCAGAAACUUGCAGAUGAGUAUGUUAUCAUGCAUCCUUAAAACAUAUAAAUUAGCAAAAAGGCAAUUAAACAUCCAAAAUAGAAUUGUAGUCCCUUUCAGAAACAAACUGCAUUUAUUUCUGUUAAAGUUCAUUGUCAAUGAUAUUGAAUUUAAUUGUCAAAACAAUCAAACAGAAAUGCUGUGAUACUGGUACUUAAGUGACGUACUCUACUAUGGGGAAGGGGAGUUGACUGUAGUGCUUUCUAUAAUGCAUAUGAACUUGUACCUCUGCAAUGAACUUUCUGGUUGCUCAGCUGUAUCUCUUGUAUCCACAGUAUUAAAGUGUAUCCUGACCAUUCAUAGAACACUCAAAAUACUUGACAAACAGAAGGAAAAUGUAAUAACAACAUAUUAUUAUUAUAUUUGUCCUGGCAUGUAAAUCUAAUAUUACUAAAGAUUCUCCUUUAUACAGCAUUUUGAAACCUAUAGAUGACCAAUGCUAUCCAAAGAACUGUUUCUUUGCUGGCAGUAUUUUCUCUUAUUUGGAAAUCCCAGCCUUUGUGUGCCAGCUCUGCUGACAAAUAAUGAAGGAAUAUUCACAUCUUUUUCACACUGGGUAUCUAAAAAUAAGGUUUUGAAGAAACUAAAAAAUCUUGCUGCCGAGUUUCUUUGCACAGUGCCUGAUGAAAACAGACAGCUUCAAGAGAUUUUGAAUGAAGUAGGUGACAUGAAUAUCCUGUUUCAAAUAUAUUACAUUUUCCUAGGCCCUGAAAGGGCUCGACUGAAGUCAAGGAGUAGAGAAAUGUGAAUUGAAUUAAGAUAGGAGAGUUAAGGGCUCUUGCUCUUCAAGAGAAGAGCUCAUGCUCUUCAGUAUCUUCAUCAGUGACAUAGACAAUGGCAUUGAGUGCACCCUCAGCAAGUUUGCAGAUGACACCAAGCUGAGCACUUCAGUCGAUACACUGGAAAGAAGGAAAGCCAUACAGAGGGACCUGUAUAGGCUGGAGAAGUGGGCCCAUGAAAACCUAAUGAAAUUCAAUAAGGCCAGGUGCAGAGUGCUGCAUUUGUGUUGGGGCAAUCCCAGGUAUUUAUACAAACAGGGGGAAGAUCUCCUUGAGAGCAGCCCUGCAGAGAAGGACUUGGGGGUCCUGGUGAAUGAGAAGCUGGACAUGAGCCAGAAGUGUGCACUUGCAGCCUGGAAGGCCAACUGUGUUCUGGGCUGUAUUAAAAGAGGAGUGGCCAGCAGGGAGAGGGAGGUGAUUGUCCCCCUCUACUCGGCUCUUGUGAGGCCCCAACUGGAGUACUGCGUCCAGGCCUGGGGCCCCCAGUACAGGAAGGACGUGGAGCUCUUGGAGUGGGUCCAGAGGAGGGCCACUGAGAUGAUCAGGGGGCUGGAGCACCUCUCCUGUGAGGAAAGGUUGAGGGAACUGGGCUUGUUUAGCUUGAAGAAGAGAAGGCUCUUGGUAGACUGUAUUGUGGCCUUCCAAUACUUGAAGGAAGCAUAUAAACAGGAGGAGAAAGGACUGUUUAGAAGGGCAGAUAGUGAUAGGACAGGGGGGAAUGCUUUUAAACUGCAACAGGGGAGGUUUAGGUUAGAUAUUAGGAGGAAGUUUUUCCACACAGAGGGUGGUGACUCACUGGAACAGGUUGCCCAAGGAGGUUGUGGAUGCCCCAUCCCUGGAGGCAUGCAAGGCCAAGCUGGAUGUGGCUCUGGGCAGCCUGGUCUGGUGGUUGGCAACCCUGCACAUAGUGGGGGGGUUGAAACUAGAUGAUCAUUGUAGUCCUUUUCAACCCAGGCCAUUCUAUGAUUCUAAGGGAAAAGAAGUGCAGAAAUAAUGAAGACAAUGGGCUGAGAAUAACAGACCAAAAAAUAAAAUAAAAUAAAACACAGUUUAAAGUAACAAGUUUAAGCUAACAGUUUAACUGUUGUUUUUUUGUUUUUUUUUUUAACUCCUAAUCUGAUGGCUCACUUAUUGCAAGUCUUUUUAAUCUGUUAUUUGAAAUUGAAUAUUUAAAUAAAAAAUAAUUCUCAUGAGAGCUUGAGGUUGCAUCUAGGUAAUUUAGCAGUAAUAAUACAAUCUUCCUCUAAUAAACUGUGAAAUUCUUGACCUCAGAGAUUAACCUGGAUAGCAUUAUUACCUAAUAAAUAGGUGUCAACUGUUUACGGGCUGGUCUGGCCUGGUUCUGUGACUAGUGGGGCAGAGGGAUUUCUUUUCCAAAAUCCGCGCCUCCAGAAAAGGGAAACAGGGGACCCCCCCACAAAAAAAGAAUAGUUAAAAAAAACAGCGGCAACGAUCUGAGGAGAAACAAACUAAUUUACUAAAUACAGUAUCAGAAUGCACAAUAACACACUAUAAUACAAUAUAAUUCAAUAUAAUUGUUAAUAAAAUCAAAUAUAAUUGAGAGAAGGAUUGUCCAAGAGCUGAAGGCCUUACACUAAUACUGAAGCCUUGCGUGCAGUCAGGAGCAGCAGCGAGACGAUCCGAAAGCGAGCACGACGAGAUGAGAAGAAGAGACGACCCAGGUCAGGUGACCUACAGGCCUUAUAUCUGUUCCCCUGAGCAGGAAUGAUAACAGUACUUGAACAGUCUUCUGGGGAACGUAGUUCUUCUUCUCUUCCGGACAAGUACCCGGAACUAGAGCAUUUGCUCUUUAACUCCCAGUACACUGCAUGAUGUUAUGAUGUGGAAUACCGAUAACCAAAAAUCAUAAAACCAUGAAAAUAGGGAAAUUCUACAAGCUAUGGUUAUAUUAUUCACAAGCUUCCACAAUAUACUAAUAACUGGCCUGUUCUACUUUGUAAAAGGAAAAAAAAAAAUGUAACAGCACAAAACUUUGUUAUGUUUACUUCUCUCUGUCAAGUCUUCAAGCAGGAUACAGUAAGUGGAAGUCUAUCAUAUAUGACUUAUCCUGCAAAGCAGAAACUGUCACAUGAAGAUCUCAGUGUAUUGCUGAUGAUAGUGAACUGAGAAACAAGAGGUGGAGAAAAAGGGUCUCCUUCUGCUGGAUGGCCAUGAAAAUCUGCUAGGUGAGGUUUGUCCAAGUUCAGUCUUGUCAGAUUAAAAUUUUGUGGAGGACAAA
ensembl:lncRNA